GGCGCGAUGGCGGAGUGGUUAACGCGAGAGACUAGAACCCAACUAUCUAUCUCUUCCCUUCGGGGGCGUAGGUUCGAAUCCUGCUCGCGUCG
rnacentral:tRNA from 1 species